UAAUAGGACUGUUUGCUGUAGGAACUUUCAGUCGUCCGUCCAACCGGCGCAGAAACAACCUCUGCUGCUCUCUGCUGUUUUAAUAUUUCAGUUUUCAUCUCAACCAGAUCGUAAAAAUGAAGAUCGCAGCCUUCAAUGUCCAGAGACUGGGAUGGAAUAAAAUCAACAAUGAGACUGUUCGGACAAAUCUUAUAAAGAUUGUGUCUCGGUACAGUGUGGUGGUGAUGCUGGAGGUCAUGGGUCACGGCGGCAGGUCCAUGGGCAAGUUCCUCACGGAACUCAACAACUAUGGAAGGAACAGACAACGUCCGUACAACAUGAGAUGCAGUGUCUUUCUGGGACGAGGCUCCUACAGGGAGCAAUUUGUCUUCUUCUACAGAGAGGCUGAGGUGAGCAUGCUCGAGUCCUACCAGUACGAAGAAAAAGAAGAUGUAGACGUCCUCGAAAGAGAGCCCUUUGUUGUCCUGUUUGACUGUCCAAAUACAGUUGCGGAGCACCUGGUUCUGAUCCCAGUCCACACCAAACCAGAGGAUGCAGAAAUAGAGCUGGACGCUCUGGAGCAUGUGGUUGAAGCUGUGAGGAGAAGAUGGGAAACUGAUAACAUUAUUAUUCUGGGGGACUUUAAUGCCGAUGGACGUUACCUCUCCAAGAAGAAGAAGGAAAGGAUCAGCAUCUUCUCUCCUGACUACCAUUGGCUGAUAGGUGAUGAUGUCGACACCACGACAAGUAACUCUACUGACCACACCUACGACAGGAUUGUGGUGUUUGGAGAUGACAUGUACGACGCUGUGGUUCCCCGCUCAGCUCGGGCUUUCAACUUCCAGAGGCAAUACCGUCUGUCUGAUGCCAAAACUAAAGCCAUCAGUGACCACUACCCUGUGGAGGUGGUGCUGAGGGAGAACUAACAUCAACAAAUGAGCUCCGAAGGCAACCAACGAAGAGAAAGGUAUAUAUCAGACAUCAGAAGAAGACGGAUGUCCCAGCAGAUAACCUCAUCAUGACACAACAUUAGACAAUAUGUGCAGACGCAUCGGCAGUUCCUUAUAUCACUGCUCACUUAUUCAUAACGCUUAUGGCUUCGUGUUAUCUGAAAUAAACUAAUCAUGAAAGAGUA